AACCCAUGGUGAGGGCACUCUCUUCGGUACUCCUUGUACCUUUCCCAAGCUUCGCAGAAAGCUUUACCAGGUUUCUGUUUAAAUGACGAGAUCUUGUUCUUCAAGGCU
rnacentral:snoRNA from 1 species